UGUACAGGGGGAUAACCCGGAGAAAUUCGGACUAAUAUCCCAUAACAAUAUUCGGAGGCAUCUUUGGAUAUUUAAAGUUCCGGCGGUACGGGAUGGGCAUGCGUAACAUUAGCUAGUUGGUAAGGUAACGGCUUACCAAGGCUUUGAUGUUUAGGGGUCCUGAGAGGGUGGUCCCCCACACUGGUACUGAGACACGGACCAGACUCCUACGGGAGGCAGCAGUGAGGAAUAUUGGUCAAUGGGCGCAAGCCUGAACCAGCCAUCCCGCGUGCAGGAAGACGGCCCUAUGGGUUGUAAACUGCUUUUCCAGGGGGAGAAACUUGCGCACGUGUUGCGCAAUUGACGGUACCCUGGGAAUAAGCAUCGGCUAACUCCGUGCCAGCAGCCGCGGUAAUACGGAGGAUGCGAGCGUUAUCCGGAUUCAUUGGGUUUAAAGGGUGCGUAGGCGGGCUAUUAAGUCAGUGGUGAAAUCCUGCAGCUUAACUGCAGAACUGCCAUUGAUACUGAUAGCCUUGAGUUUGGUUAAGGUAGGCGGAAUGUGUAAUGUAGCGGUGAAAUGCUUAGAUAUUACACAGAACACCAAUUGCGUAGGCAGCUUACUGAGCCGACACUGACGCUGAGGCACGAAAGCGUGGGGAUCGAACAGGAUUAGAUACCCUGGUAGUCCACGCCGUAAACGAUGAUUACUCGCUGUUGGCGAUACACUGUCAGCGGCUAAGCAAAAGCAAUAAGUAAUCCACCUGGGGAGUACGGCCGCAAGGUUGAAACUCAAAGGAAUUGACGG
rnacentral:rRNA from 1 species